CCUACGUGAGGCUGCAGUGAGGAAUAUUUGUCAAUGGGCUUACGCCUGAACCAGCCAAGUCGCGUGAGGGAAGACUGCCCUAUGGGUUGUAAACCUCUUUUGUCAGGGAGCAAUUGGCGCUACGUGUAGCGUUAUCGAGAGUACCUGAAGAAAAAGCAUCGGCUAACUCCGUGCCAGCAGCCGCGGUAAUACGGAGGAUGCGAGCGUUAUCCGGAUUUAUGGGGUUUAAAGGUUGCGUAGGCGGAAUGCCAAGUCAGCGGUAAAAUCGCGGGGCUCAACCUCGCUCCGCCGUUGAAACUGGCGUUCUUGAGUGGGCGAGAAGUAUGCGGAAUGCGUGGUGUAGCGGUGAAAUGCAUAGAUAUCACGCAGAACUCCGAUUGCGAAGGCAGCAUACCGGCGCCCAACUGACGCUGAAGCACGAAAGCGUGGGUAUCGAACAGGAUUAGAUACCCCAGUAGUC
rnacentral:rRNA from 1 species